rnacentral:lncRNA from 1 species
GGCAAUCAGCCCUAGUAAAUAGUACAGAACCUUCCUCAAGUCUCUAUAUCAGCGUGCAGAGGAUGUGCCUAAGAUUUUCUUUCAACAACAUUUAGUGUGAGCUAGUUGUCUAUCGGGAAACUACACUUAGGGCGUCUCGAAUGGUCUAGCUUAGAGCUAACUCAAUUAAUUUUUUAUUUGUUGAACAGGACAAUAAGUAUGAGACUAGCUAGGAGUGAAGAGAUAGUCUAGCUCACUUUUCGAUGCAACUCUCUCUCAUAACACGAUCUUCAAAACUACUAUAUACAUGGGACCACACAUCAACUAUGAGCUAUCAACUAACUUAUACUGUUGGAGACGCUCUUAUACAUCAGUCUCAACAAUUUCACAAAACAUACUCCCUCUAUCCUGAAAUAUAAGACAUCCUAGAGAUAUUAGAACAGAUUAGUAGAAGUGUAAAAAAACGUAUGUACCCCUGAGUUAUACGUGGGGAGUUGUGUUGUUUGUCUAUUUUAAUUAAUGACAGUUGCAGAUAAUAAGGAAACUAAUCCACCAAUCAGCCACCCUUACUCCGUCAAUUCCAAGGAGAACUAAAUGAGCAAUCAUUCAAAUGUGCCUACAAUACCUUAUAUUUGAAGAUAAUUUUUGAACACUUAGAUGCUUUGUAUUUCAGGACGGAGGGAGUAUAGUUUUAAUAUAAAUAAAAAUUCUAGGAACAAAAUUGGGAACGGUGGAACUUGCACAUGAUGAGCCUACUUGAACCGAAGUUUGAAUACACGUGAUUAUAAAUGUAGCGAAUCAUGAAUUGACAUACGUAAUGUCUAUCACAAAAUCUACUGUGAACUGAUAUCCAAUUAAUCAUUUACAUUUGUUCCUGGGGUCUGCAAGCGAAUACUAGCUUUUAACAUCUACCAUUCGAGAAUGAAAUAUUAGCAUUAAAGGACGUAAUAGGUUUGGAAAUGGAGCCAUAAGGGACACAUGGAAGACAAGCAUCACAGCG